rnacentral:rRNA from 1 species
UACGAAGGGGGCUAGCGUUGCUCGGAUUGACUGGGCGUAAAGGGCGCGUAGGCGGUUCGUACAGUCAGACGUGAAAUUCCUGGGCUCAACCUGGGGGCUGCGUUUGAUACGUGCGGACUUGAGUGCGGAAGAGGGUCGUGGAAUUCCCAGUGUAGAGGUGAAAUUCGUAGAUAUUGGGAAGAACACCGGUGGCGAAGGCGGCGACCUGGUCCGAUACUGACGCUGAAGCGCGAAAGCGUGGGGAGCAAACAGG